AUUGAACGCUGGCGGCAGGCCUAACACAUGCAAGUCGAACGAGUGGCGGACGGGUGAGUAAUGUCUGGGAAACUGCCUGAUGGAGGGGGAUAACUACUGGAAACGGUAGAUAAUACCGCAUACUAUCGGAUGUGCCCAGAUGGGAUGAGCUAGCAGGGGGGGUAACGGCACACCAAGGCGACGAUCCCUAGCUGGUCUGGGAGGAUGACCAGCCACACUGGAACUGAGACACGGUCCAUACUCCUACGGGAGGCAGCAGUGAGGAAUAUUGCGCAAUGGGCACAAGCCUGAUGCAGCCAUGCCGCAUGUAUGAAGAAGGCCUUCAGGUUGUAAAGUACUUUCAGCGGGGAGGCGUUACCCGCAGAAGAAGCACCGGCUAACUCCGUGCCAGCAGCCGCGGUAAUUC
rnacentral:rRNA from 1 species